CCAUACGACCGUACCGCAAACCGACACUGGUGCGCGAGAUGAGUAUUCUAAGGCGCUUGAGAGAACUCAGGAGAAGGAACUCGGCAAAUUGACACCGUAACUUCGGAAGAAGGUGUGCCCUAUUAGUGUGUAGUGAACAACGAAGCAUGAAUGGGUUGCAAAAAAUCGGUGGCUGCGACUGUUUAUUAAAAACACAGCACUCUGCAAACACGAAAGUGGACGUAUAGGGUGUGACGCCUGCCCGGUGCUGGAAGAUUAAAUGAUGGGGUGCAAGCUCUUGAUUGAAGUCCCAGUAAACGGCGGCCGUAACUAUAACGGUCCUAAGGUAGCGAAAUUCCUUGUCGGGUAAGUUCCGACCUGCACGAAUGGCGUAACGAUGGCCACACUGUCUCCUCCUGAGACUCAGCGAAGUUGAAAUGUUUGUGAUGAUGCAAUCUCCCCGCGGAAAGACGGAAAGACCCCAUGAACCUUUACUGUAGCUUUGUAUUGGACUUUGAACAGAUCUGUGUAGGAUAGGUGGGAGGCUUUGAGGCAGGGUCGCUAGAUCUUGUGGAGCCAACGUUGAAAUACCACCCUGGUGUGUUUGAGGUUCUAACCUAGGUCCAUUAUCUGGAUCGGGGACAGUGCAUGGUAGGCAGUUUGACUGGGGCGGUCUCCUCCCAAAGCGUAACGGAGGAGUUCGAAGGUACGCUAGUUACGGUCGGACAUCGUGACGAUAGUGCAAUGGCAUAAGCGUGCUUAACUGCGAGACUGACAAGUCGAGCAGAUGCGAAAGCAGGACAUAGUGAUCCGGUGGUUCUGUAUGGAAGGGCCAUCGCUCAACGGAUAAAAGGUACUCUGGGGAUAACAGGCUGAUACCGCCCAAGAGUUCAUAUCGACGGCGGUGUUUGGCACCUCGAUGUCGGCUCAUCUCAUCCUGGGGCUGUAGCCGGUCCCAAGGGUAUGGCUGUUCGCCAUUUAAAGAGGUACGUGAGCUGGGUUUAAAACGUCGUGAGACAGUUUGGUCCCUAUCUUCCGUGGGCGCUGCAGAUUUGAGGAAGCCUGCUCCUAGUACGAGAGGACCGGAGUGGACACACCUCUGGUGUAUCGGUUGUCACGCCAGUGGCAUUGCCGAGUAGCUAAGUGUGGAAGAGAUAACCGCUGAAAGCAUCUAAGCGGGAAACUCGUUUCAAGAUGAGAUCUGCCGGGGCCUUGAGCCCCCUAAAGAGUCGUUCAAGACCAGGACGUUGAUAGGUCAGGUGUGGAAGUGA
rnacentral:rRNA from 1 species